rnacentral:piRNA from 1 species
UCCUCCAGAACUGAUGUUGGAAUUAUUGAU